AACAGAAUGACUCUAUGGGACCAGGUUAACACUCUAUAAAGGGAACAGAAUGACUCUCUAUGGGUCCAGGUUAACACUCUAUAAAGGGGAACAGAAUGACUCUAUGGGUCCAGGUUAACACUCUAUAAAGGGGAACAGAAUGACUCUAUGGGUCCAGGUUAACACUCUAUAAAGGGGAACAGAAUGACUCUAUGGGUCCAGGUUAACACUCUAUAAGGGGAACAGAAUGACUCUCUAUGGGUCCAGGUUAACACUCUAUAAAGGGAACAGAAUGACUCUAUGGGUCCAGGUUAACACUCUAUAAAGGGGAACAGAAUGACUCUCUAUGGGUCCAGGUUAACACUCUAUAAAGGGAAUAGAAUGACUCUAUGGGUCCAGGUUAACACUCUAUAAAGGGGAACAGAAUGACUCUCUAUGGGUCCAGGUUAACACUCUAUAAAGGGGAACAGAAUGACUCUAUGGGUCCAGGUUAACACUCUAUAAAGGGGAACAGAAUGACUCUCUAUGGGUCCAGGUUAACACUCUAUAAAGGGGAACAGAAUGACUCUCUAUGGGUCCAGGUUAACACUCUAUAAAGGGAACAGAAUGACUCUCUAUGGGUCCAGGUUAACACUCUAUAAAGGGAACAGAAUGACUCUCUAUGGGUCCAGGUUAACACUCUAUAAAGGGGAACAGAAUGACUCUCUAUGGGUCCAGGUUAACACUCUAUAAAGGGGAACAGAAUGACUCUCUAUGGGUCCAGGUUAACACUCUAUAAAGGGGAACAGAAUGACUCUCUAUGGGUCCAGGUUAACACUCUAUAAAGGGGAACAGAAUGACUCUAUGGGUCCAGGUUAACACUCUAUAAAGGGAACAGAAUGACUCUCUAUGGGUCCAGGUUAACACUCUAUAAAGGGGAACAGAAUGACUCUAUGGGUCCAGGUUAACACUCUAUAAAGGGGAACAGAAUGACUCUAUGGGUCCAGGUUAACACUCUAUAAAGGGGAACAGAAUGACUCUCUAUGGGUCCAGGUUAACACUCUAUAAGGGGAACAGAAUGACUCUCUAUGGGUCCAGGUUAACACUCUAUAAAGGGGAACAGAAUGACUCUAUGGGUCCAGGUUAACACUCUAUAAAGGGGAACAGAAUGACUCUCUAUGGGUCCAGGUUAACACUCUAUAAAGGGGAACAGAAUGACUCUCUAUGGGUCCAGGUUAACACUCUAUAAAGGGGAACAGAAUGACUCUCUAUGGGUCCAGGUUAACACUCUAUAAAGGGGAACAGAAUGACUCUAUGGGUCCAGGUUAACACUCUAUAAAGGGGAACAGAAUGACUCUCUAUGGGUCCAGGUUAACACUCUAUAAAGGGGAACAGAAUGACUCUCUAUGGGUCCAGGUUAACACUCUAUAAAGGGAACAGAAUGACUCUAUGGGUCCAGGUUAACACUCUAUAAAGGGGAACAGAAUGACUCUAUGGGUCCAGGUUAACACUCUAUAAAGGGAACAGAAUGACUCUCUAUGGGUCCAGGUUAACACUCUAUAAAGGGAACAGAAUGACUCUAUGGGUCCAGGUUAACACUCUAUAAAGGGGAACAGAAUGACUCUCUAUGGGUCCAGGUUAACACUCUAUAAAGGGGAACAGAAUGACUCUCUAUGGGUCCAGGUUAACACUCUAUAAAGGGAACAGAAUGACUCUAUGGGUCCAGGUUAACACUCUAUAAAGGGGAACAGAAUGACUCUAUGGGUCCAGGUUAACACUCUAUAAAGGGGAACAGAAUGACUCUAUGGGUCCAGGUUAACACUCUAUAAAGGGGAACAGAAUGACUCUAUGGGUCCAGGUUAACACUCUAUAAAGGGGAACAGAAUGACUCUAUGGGUCCAGGUUAACACUCUAUAAAGGGAACAGAAUGACUCUAUGGGUCCAGGUUAACACUCUAUAAAGGGGAACAGAAUGACUCUCUAUGGGUCCAGGUUAACACUCUAUAAAGGGAACAGAAUGACUCUAUGGGUCCAGGUUAACACUCUAUAAAGGGGAACAGAAUGACUCUCUAUAGGUCCAGGUUAACACUCUAUAAAGGGGAACAGAAUGACUCUAUGGGUCCAGGUUAACACUCUAUAAAGGGAACAGAAUGACUCUAUGGGUCCAGGUUAACACUCUAUAAAGGGGAACAGAAUGACUCUCUAUGGGUCCAGGUUAACACUCUAUAAAGGGAACAGAAUGACUCUAUGGGUCCAGGUUAACACUCUAUAAAGGGGAACAGAAUGACUCUAUGGGUCCAGGUUAACACUCUAUAAAGGGAACAGAAUGACUCUAUGGGUCCAGGUUAACACUCUAUAAAGGGAACAGAAUGACUCUCUAUGGGUCCAGGUUAACACUCUAUAAAGGGGAACAGAAUGACUCUAUGGGUCCAGGUUAACACU